AUCCUUUUGUAGUUCAUGAGUGUGAUGAUUGGGUUUUCAUGUGCAUGCGUGAGAUGUGCCUCCCACAGAGCUUUUUGCGAUGGUUGACUGGUUCUUCAUUUGUAC